rnacentral:sRNA from 1 species
CGUGGAGAAAACGAGCCAGAGUUCAGACCAGCGGGCAGUGACGCCAGGAUGGGGUCCCCCAGGCUGGGACGCGGGCCCUGGGUGUCCUGAGGUUUCCUGUUCUGAAAGAGGCUUUCAUGUUGUCGAGCACCCCUUGGGGUCACACAUCUGGGCGAAGAGCUAGAACUGAAUUUGCACCCAGGGCUCCUGACUCCCCGUCCAGUGGCCUUUCCACAAAGGAAACACGUUGUGUUUCCUCUCCCGGGCAUCCGUGAGAUGGGGGCCAGACUGCAAGGCACCUGAGACGCAGGAUCGCACAGGUUGGAAAAGGCUCCGCAACCCUAAGAAGCUCUUGCGAACCGCGAUGCUGGGAGAUUCCUAAGGAAUCAUCCAGCUGCGGGAGGCUCAGCCCAGUCCUCCCCACCCCGCCCCCAUGCAGGAGCAAAGCGCCCAGAGGUCAGGCUGGAGGCCCCCGCCGGCCCCUCGCCGCUGAUUCAGCCUUGCCCGUCUCCCUCCGCAGUUUGAGAUCCGGCAGCUGCGCGCGCACCUGGCGCAGCAGGACCUAGACCUGGCUGCCGAGCGCGAAGCGGCGCUCCAGGCCCCGCACGUGCUCAGCCAGCCGCGCAGCCGCUUCAAAGUGUUGGAGGCCGGCACCUGGGACGAGGAGACGGCGGCCGAGAGCGUCGUGGAGGAGCUGCAGCCCUCGCAAGAAGCCACGGUGAAGGACGACAUGAACAGCUACAUCAGUCAGUAUUACAAUGGGCCCAGCAGUGACAGCGGUGUCCCAGAGCCAGCUGUGUGUAUGGUCACCACGGCUGCAAUAGACAUCCACCAGCCCAACAUCUCCUCGGACCUCUUCUCUCUGGACAUGCCCCUCAAGCUCGGCGGUAAUGGCACCAGCGCCACCUCGGAGAGUGCCUCCCGCAGCUCAGUCACCCGGGCCCAGAGUGACAGCAGCCAGACGCUGGGCUCCUCCAUGGACUGCAGCACUGCCCGCGAGGAGCCGUCCUCUGAGCCCGGCCCUUCUCCCCUGCCGCAGCCAUCCCAGCAGCAGGUGGAGGAGGCCACAGUCCAGGACCUGCUGUCCUCCCUGUCAGAGGACCCCUGCCCUUCCCAGAGGGCCUUGGACCCAGCCCCCCUCGCCCGGCCCAGCCCAGCGGGCUCGGCCCAAACCAGCCCCGAGCUGGAACACAGGGUAAGUCUGUUCAACCAGAAGAACCAGGAGGGCUUCACUGUCUUUCAGAUCAGGCCUGUCAUCCACUUCCAGCCCACUGUGCCCAUGCUGGAGGACAAGUUCAGAUCUUUGGAAUCCAAAGAGCAAAAGCUGCACAGGGUCCCUGAGGCCUAGAGCCUGCCAUGGGCUGGGUGAGAGGAGGGGAGACAGCCAUCUCAAAGCUCUCCUGGGACCCUGGAGGCUGCCAAGGGCCACACGCGGGGCCCAGGAGCCCACCUGGCCUCCCUCAGGGUGCUGCCUGCCUCCAGGGAGGCGACGCCAGGCCAGGAGGCCACAAGCUUCAGACCUCAAAGCCCAGAGCUGGCGCCUCUUCUCGCCCUGCUCAGGGGAGGGUGGUGCUCGUGGCUGGGUUUUCUUUUUAACCAUUUUUACAAAAACCAGCCUGUGGCCCAGCUUCAGCAGGGUAGAGUGCGGGGGGGCCAGCUCAGCCUCUUCCGUUGCCUUCGUUCCUGACGCCCACCCUGGACUCUAGGGAACAGCACUGUGAGCAGGGGCUGUCCAGCCCCACCCCUAAGCCGUCUUUCCCAGGAAUCCUGGGUGGAGUCCAACACAAUCACACGGAGACCACCAUCUGAGCCUAUGUCAUUUGUCCUCAUUCUCAUUCCAGCAUGAGCGUUUCUGAGUCUCUUCAAGACGAAUCUAGUUUUCACCUUCACAGGAUAUAAAGGGAUCAAUCUAGAGGUGGGUGGGAGGGUCCUAGAGGGCAGGGGAACAACCAUUUUCCAACCUUGGCUUUAAUAAUAAAAACCAGCUGCACUGAG